AAAUAUCGAUGUUUUAAUAUGGCGUGAGAAGUAGAACGUAUUCGUGAACGUGCAAGCAUUUAUUUUUUAAUCAAUAUAAUAAAUUUGUGAAACAUAGAGAAGUGAUAAAGUGAUUUAAAGAUGUGUUUAAAUUUCAAAAGUGUAAUUAUUUGUAAUAUAUAUUAUACGUUCUAUUUUCAUAUAUAAAAAUUAUUUUAUGUAAAUUUAUUCUACGUUACAUCGCAAUAAGAACAGCUAUCCUGUCAAGGAUAAAUGUAUAAAGUGCAAUUCAGUGGUCGGUAUAGAAGUUUUCUGCUAAAGCAACGACCGUUGGAACAGAAUCGAUUUCACCCUUUCUCUGAAGAUGGCAAUAACUCCCACAAUCCUAUGAAUAUUAAUACUGGAUAAAACUAUGGCCAAUUUCAAUGAUCGAUUAAUGGGCAAACUUCGUCUAAUUGUUGGAACGCUAAUUAAAAUCAAGAACAAGAAGUUGGAACCAAAUUAGGAAAGAUGGAACCGUGUGUCCCCAGCGUGUGUCGCCAACCACUAUAAACUUCAGAAGGCUGCAAUUACUUCACUUUGCACUUUUUCAACCAACAUCGUUUAAAGUGAAACCAUGCUGCGUGGCUCUGUCUUUUAAGGAUUAGAAGACUGUUGAUUGAGAGGAGAAGAGGAAAAUUGCGGAUCGGAGAAACUCCAGUGGCUGCAACGGAAACACCGCAACAUCCGGCCAUCUAAUAAAGAACUCUUUACUUAUGAAUAAUUCAACAAUAUCGAACAAGUCGCUAUAUAUCCCGAUCAAAUAACGUAAAUCUUCCCUCGAACACGGAGUUUUUCCUCGUCGAGUUUUCUAUUUCGUGCGAUAAUCUUGAGACCGGAAGUGUGACACGCGUGAUGCCAUUGCAAAUACCUGUAAGAAGGAAAGAGAGGACCUAGAUUGUCUAGGGAUUUCGAGAUAGCCUCGUGGAUGAACAGGGAGGCGACAGUGAUAUAUGAGUGUUGAAUAGGGUUGCUGGUUUAUUCGCUCGAUCUUUAGAGAGAGGAGCCAUAAUCAGCUGUCACCGAUGCUGGUUAAAUUGAUUAAAAAAAAGAACUAGCAAUUCUCCUUUGAUUUUUCUUGUACCAAGCGUAUUACAAGUAUCGCUAAUGCAAAUUAUAAAUCAUGUGUGUAAGCGAAUGCGAAAAAGGAAUUUUAAAGAUAAACGACGUUGUAAUAAUUAACAUCGCUAAUGACGAAAUUAUAAUAUUAAAUUUGUAUUCUCUACCGAAUUUUGAGGGAAAUUAAUUACGAUUGAUAAUUAUUUUGCAAUUAUUACUACAUUAAAAUUAUUAUAGCAAUAGCUAUUUCAAAAUAUUUUAUGUAUAUAUCACUUUCCAAAAAUUGAAAUAACUCCAUAAUUUUAAUGCUAUUGUAAAGUGUAUUUAUAUCUCGAAUCUUAGAUGAAAAAUCAAUAUACAAGUUUCGAUUAAAAAUUACAAUUACAUUCCUUGAAACUGUAUUUAAUUGAAAAAUCUUCUCAAAAAUUUGAUCCGCGAUUUCUAGAAAAAAAAUUCCAAAAAAUUGAAAGAAUCCAAUUCGUUUUCUUCCAAAUUCUACGAUCUUACGAUUUUCAUUUCCCUCCAUUCAUUCUCAAGAAAAGAUGGUCGAUUAUUCCGUUGUUACUCGCACGCGUUCUCGCAUGGGUGAAGCGGGUUGUGCCGUAAUUAGACGUCGCGAAAACGGCGUAACCCCGUCCCUGGAUCCUCUAAAUUCGUCGUCGCUGUGUAUAAUCGACGAGGCGCGCCCCCCGGCGUCCGCAAACAGCGCCGAAACGCCACGAGAAGCUGUGCAAACAUUGCCCGCUCAGAAAGGGUAAAGAGG